rnacentral:misc_RNA from 1 species
AGCACUUCGCGACCUCCGCGCCGCAGGACCGCAGGGACGGACUGGGGGAGGGGAACCCAGCCAAAGUAAACGAGAACAAUCAGGAAGUUGAAGAGUAUAAAAGGAAGGGGCCGGCCAACGGCUUGCAGACUCGAGAAACUGAGGAGCUGACACUCCCAUCGUUGGCGCAGCGCGAUGAGGAUAAAUGAAACUUCAAAAUAGAAAAUAGUCAUUUAUUUAUCAUUCAACUUUAGAACUUUUUGUCUGUAUUAUUCUUUUCAAAUAGAGAGCGUAUGGCACCAGUGUGUCGUGAUCGUGACUAGAUACAAUGUGAUCGAAAUUGUUAACGUGAAUACAGUAAAUCGAUGGGCUGUUUGUGUUUCACUUAUUUAAAGCACGAGUGCAUCGGUCGAUAUUUUAGUCGUUUUUAACUUUAUCGUUAUAAAUAAUAUUUAUCGAAAGAUUUGUACACUACAAUUUACGACUAAACUAUCGUUCGAUUAAGGCUAUUCAUAAGAAAAGUAGCACGAGUUCUGCAACCUAGUCAAGGCUGUCGCAGACGCCGUGCGACUGUCCUAUUGUGAAUGGGGCCUAUUUAUUUUAAAAAUUAACUUAGAAAUAAUUUUGAACUAAAGCUAUCUUAACCGAAUCUUUGGUCGCAAUGAGUGUAGAUGAUGAGUGCGGUGGAUUCAAUGUCAGAUCAAUUCUAAAGUCAAUAAAACAAAAAAUUGUCGAAUAAAAUGGAAUUAAUCGCAACAUAGCGUUCGUAAUACUUUCGUUACCUUUGGCUUACAAAGUAUUGUCUAUCGUUUAAAAUUAACGUCUGCUAUUAUUAACGAAGUGUUUUGCACCGAUUUGAUAUUUAAAUACAAAAAAAUUUCAUUGUUAGACUAAAAAUAUAUUAUUAAUGUUGUAUUUGCCACAUUUUCUUACAUACAGUGCACCCGUGCAGCACUUACAACAGCGCUAAAGUAUCGGGAACGUAAGUAAACAAUAAACAUAGAAAAUGUCCCGUUUCGAAUCACGCUUAUUUAAAACAAGAAUAUAAAUUAACUUCGAGCCUUAGAUUAAAAUCGUUAAUAAUAACAAUCGUUUUACAAAAUUAUUCUAACAAUGUCCUGCUUAAAAAUGUAUAUAUAAAAAAUCGGAGCCAUUAAUCCAUAAAAAAAAAAACUUAAAAUAAAUUAUAAAAAAAAACCGUAAAUAGUUAUCUCACAAUAAAAUUAACUUAUUUACCGUCGAAUGGCCCCGAAGGUCGUGGAGCGUUCGAUAAAAUUCGGUCGCCGUUUCGUCUUAACUAACUUAUCCUAGCUUGUACUAUCGUGCCUACUAAUAUAUAUAUACAUAAAAUUUACAAACAAACACACGAACCUAAAUAAGACGAUAUGGCAAGGUUUUGUGCUGUACGAGGUAAGGGUUAACAUUUGAACAGUUUUGGAUUAUCUAUAAUAUCAGAUAUGGGGGUAUAUUGGAAUAGAAUUCAUCAAAUUAAAUACCUAAAAAAAGGUCUAAUUCAAUACAAAAUAAUGUUUUGUUUCUUCUAAUAAAGUUACAGUGGUAAUUAUAUAUUACAUCAGUUUUUUUCAGUUUUUAUAUUUAUUUACUAAGGCAUCGUCGGUGAGGUUCGGAUAGCUCACUCGCUCGAACAGACAAUAGGCGGAGUGGUAACAGCUCGGGCUCCACACGAACAAUACUCCUCGAAUACUAACAAAUAAAUUAAGUAACACAAUAUAUAACAAAACUAAUUCAUUCUCGAUUUGGCACUAUUCUAUCUUACAUUAAACAUGAGGAAAUGCGUUGGGAAGUCACCGCGCCACCGAAAGGUCGCGUACUAUAAACGAAUAUAAAAUUUAUUUCUCUACAGACACCAGAUAAGUUGAAAGUUUUUAUUGCACGAUGAAUGAUUUGUGCAAUUGAUUUAUAAAAAUCAUUUCUUCUGAUAAUAAAUCUAAGCGUAUUUAGCAUUCAUUCGGCACCGGUUUCCUUACAAAACAAUAAUUCUACUAAACCGGCGUGUUUUAACGUGAGCUACGUCGGAGGCACCCUCGCCGUGCGUGCUCGUGCGGUGCGGGCGGGGCGCCUGGGGCGUGUCCCGGGGCGCGUGGGGCGUGUCCCGGGGCGCGUGGGGCGUGUCCCGGGGCGCGUGGGGCGUGUCCCGGGGCGCGUGGGGCGGGUCCCGGGGCGCGCGCGGGGCAGGCUAGGAGCGGUCCCGGGGGGGUCAGGGCGUGUCCCGCACGUCCCGCGCGGACAGGCGUCGGCUCACGGCGUCCAGUUUGUGCAGGUAGGCCGUGGCGUCGCCGCGCGGGGAGCUGGGGACGAGGGCAUAUAUAGCAGAGUUUGCGUGCUACUAAUAACAACAUAGUAAUUACUAAUAACAUAAUGAAUCAAGUAACAAUAGUUACUCCCGAUAUUUCAGUAUAUAAUAAUAUAUAUUACAAGUUCUAAACGGUUUUAAUAAAUUUUAUGUUAUAAAAUAGGAAUAAGAUAAACUUACCUUAUCACUAGGUGGUCGUCAUGAGGCGAGGUAACAGCAAAAGGCAACCGUUGUAUUGAUUCAGG